rnacentral:sRNA from 2 species
AUGUACCACGCGUACCCUGCGAUUCCCCCGCGCCGUCCACACCCGCCUGACGGCUGCUCGCUACAAUCUGUUAGCC